GAUGAACGCUAGCUACAGGCUUAACACAUGCAAGUCGAGGGGAAACGACAUCGAAAGCUUGCUUUUGAUGGGCGUCGACCGGCGCACGGGUGAGUAACGCGUAUCCAACCUGCCCACCACUUGGGGAUAACCUUGCGAAAGUAAGACUAAUACCCAAUGAUAUCCCACGAAGGCAUCCGAAUGGGAUUAAAGAUUUAUCGGUGAUGGAUGGGGAUGCGUCUGAUUAGCUUGUUGGCGGGGUAACGGCCCACCAAGGCUACGAUCAGUAGGGGUUCUGAGAGGAACGGUCCCCCACAUUGGAACUGAGACACGGUCCAAACUCCUACGGGAGGCAGCAGUGAGGAAUAUUGGUCAAUGGGCGAGAGCCUGAACCAGCCAAGUAGCGUGCAGGAUGACGGCCCUAUGGGUUGUAAACUGCUUUUAUAAGGGAAUAAAGUGGGUCACGUGUG
rnacentral:rRNA from 1 species